rnacentral:rRNA from 1 species
CCUACGGGGGGCAGCAGUGGGGAAUAUUGCGCAAUGGGCGAAAGCCUGACGCAGCGACGCCGCGUGAGGGAUGAAGGUCUUCGGAUCGUAAACCUCUGUCAGCAGGGAAGAACGGUCACUGUGCUAAUCAGCAGUGACUUGACGGUACCUGCAAAGGAAGCACCGGCUAACUCCGUGCCAGCAGCCGCGGUAAUACGGAGGAUGCGAGCGUUAUCCGGAUUUAUUGGGUUUAAAGGGUGCGUAGGCGGAGUGUCAAGUCAGCGGUAAAAUUUCGGGGCUCAACCCCGUCGUGCCGUUGAAACUGACACCCUUGAGUGAGUGAGAAGUAAGCGGAAUGCGUGGUGUAGCGGUGAAAUGCAUAGAUAUCACGCAGAACGCCGAUUGCGAAGGCAGCUUACCGGCGCUCAACUGACGCUGAGGCACGAAAGUGCGGGUAUCGAACAGGAUUAGAUACCCGGGUAGUC